rnacentral:rRNA from 1 species
AGCAGCCGCGGUAAUUCCAGCUCCAAUAGCGUAUAUUAAAGUUGUUGCAGUUAAAAAGCUCGUAGUUGAAUUUCGGAAUCUGUCCGUCGGUCGGGCUUCACUGUCCGUACUGGUGUGGUGGGUUCUUACCUUCUGAAUAACCAGCAUGCCAUUAAUUUGGUGCGUUGGGGAAGCAGGACUAUUACCUUGAAAAAAUUAGAGUGCUCAAAGCAGGCCAGUGCCUGAAUACAUUAGCAUGGAAUAAUAAAAUAGGACGGCAUGGUUCUAUUUUGUUGGUUUCUAGGAUCACCGUAAUGAUUAAUAGGGAUAGUUGGGGGCAUUAGUAUUCAAUUGUCAGAGGUGAAAUUCUUGGAUUUAUUGAAGACUAACUUCUGUGAAAGCAUUUGCCAAGGAUGUUUUCAUUAAUCAAGAACGAAAGUUAGGGGAUCGAAGACGAUCAGAUACCGUCGUAGUCUUAACCAUAAACUAUGCCGACUAGGGAUCGGACGAUGUUAAUUUUUUAAUGACUCGUUCGGCGCCU